CAAUCACUCUUCCAUAUGUGAUGUUCCACGGAAAAAGGUACCUUAUGGCGGCUGGCGCUUACGUCACAAAGCGCCACAAUAAUAUUGGAGCGACGUUAACAAUAGCGUAAGCGCCAACCGCCAUAAGGUACCUUUACACGUGGCACGUCCAAUAUUAGUGCGACAGUGACAGUUGCGUUUGAAUCGCUAUCGGAGCGUAAGCGAUUGGCAUUUUGGCUACGCGGCCGAGUGACAAUCGUUCGCAGGGAAUGCCAAAUGAAACUAAAAUACUCGUAAAUGAUUACGUCACUUUUCGUAGCUGUUAACCAGAUAUAAGUCGCACCAAUAAAAAUCUGCAGCGGAUUUGAUAGCCCACGCAGUGUACCUAAGUGUUAUUUAUACGUCAUAAUUUCAUAGAAGUUUGACGUUUAAAAUUACACUUGCACUGCGUGGGCUAUCAAUAUCGCUGCAGACCUUUUACGGUCUAACUUUACCUUGAGAUUCGAUGUCGUUAAACGAUUGUCAUCUUGGCUGCAGCUCCAAUAGGGUUGAAACUGUCAGAGGUUUGCAUAGAUUGCGCUUUCAUAGCUUGCCCCUUUUUCUAUGAGAUUUGGCUUAAAGGGCUGGCAUCCAGGGCAUAAACUUCCAUUAAAAAAACAAAAAAAUUACACAAUUCUAGGGAUUGACAUGGCAAGUUAUGCUGGCCCCAUCUGCUAAAUACUGCGACCGGCUAACCCUAUUUAUGCUCGAGUUUACCGUUAUCAAAAACAAUUUUUGAAUGUGUAAAGUUAAGAAUAAGUAUAAAGCUGUUUUGUCAAACGUCUAAUGUUGACUACUAAAGUGACCGCAUAAUGAACGAAUAUAUGAACGCUGUCAAUUCAAAUCGAACGCAUCUGUCUUAAACUUUACACAUCUAAUACAAUUAUGUAUUAAUCUCAUCGUCCGCACCGCACGAGAGACAUAUUUUGACUCAAUUCUGGCCGAAUUGUAAACCCAUCCUGUGGGCACAGGUACGCGCCUGUGGGCAAUCCUUGUCGCUACCCAGUUGCGGAUCUUUUCAUAUAUAUCGGAUUCAGAGCGGCCGAAGUGCUCGUAAAUAUUUGAACAUACGCUCUAAGGCCUUGACAAUAGAGGCGUGUACCGAUAUUUGUGAGCGCCUUAGUCGGACCAGGUGAUUAAAUGAUAACGGUAAACGCGAUCAUACUUCCAGGCACACGUUUAACACGCACCAAAGUACAUCCUUUUAAAAAUUAGUGAUAAUUCGAAUGUCGAAGAGAUUUUAUCCACCGGCCAGUUGGAAAGGAAGAUCAGGAUUUAUAGGUACUAAUACAGUGGCUAAUAAAAACAAGUGCAAACUUUAAGAGCUGAUUUAGACGGCGCGCGAACUCGUAUGCGAUUUUAGUUACAUUGCGGACUGUUAGUUACGUCCAAUUCAACCGGUCGAUCAAAACCCGCAAUGCAAUGAAAUUCGCAUGCGAGUUCUCGUAUCGUCUAAUAAAUGAGCCCUAAGAUAUUAAGUCGUGACGUCGAUAUUUGCUGCUGAGUGUAUUUAAGUGAACGUUGAAUAAUUAUAGAAGAAUGAUUUGCGCAGAACAUUGAAUGAAGGUAUUUCUGUAUAAAUUAUAAUUCACUUGUUUUAACAGCAAAAAUAUACAACGUCGUCAUUCACUUAGAAAAUGUUAAAUAACCAGCAAGUGUCUGAAAAUAUACUGCGUAUUUUAAGCAAAAUGUCAAAGUAGCGCCUUAAAUUGUGGGGUCAGAUUAAAGGAUGCUAAACUAAUGCGUGUUAACGCGUGCUGCUACUAGGUACAGUCGCCAUCAGAUAUAUCGGAGCAGCCAAGGUGUUCACAAAUAUCUGAACACGCCUCUAUUUUCAAGGCGUUAGAGUGCGCGUUCAGAUAUUGUGAACACCUUGGCCGCUCCGAUAUAUCUACGUGCGUGCUUGCUACGGCUGAAAAGGACUUUAUUUUAUGUACUAAAAGUAAAGGUUGAAAAAUAAUAGGCGGGACAAAAUUACAUCUUAAUAUAAACUUGUAAUGCGAUUUGAUCUCAGGCUAUGUUGAUUGGUUUAUGAAAAAGAUAAAAAAAAAAUAACUUGGGAAUGUGUUAGGCACUCAAUCAGUCUAGUCAGUUUUGGUAAAGUCGAGAGAGCAAUUGUGGCGAAAGGUGCAGACCAAGUGGUGAUGGGUGAUCUAAUAAGAGUCUAGCAAACGAGUUUAUCAUCAGAAUUUACUGCUUCUGCAAGUGAAAAUGACCUUUAUUUUUUGAAUGAAAAGUUAGAUUUCAUAUCUGAACGUAAGUGUGCUAACGUAAAAUAUAUUUGACACAACCGAUUAGUAUACGACCAUUUGAUUGAUAACUUCUUUGCAUCUUAUUUCAUAUUCUGAAUGCUUGAUAUGACACUGUUGAUAACGUGAACCAAUCCUUCUUUGAAAAUAUCUUAUACCUUCUAUUUUUUACCAUCCGAUACACUCGAGCCAAGAUUAGAACAAUUUUUUAAAUAAAUAUUUUAAGUAGUGCUUUAAUGUUACGAACGUACAACGCAAAAAAAGUAAAGGUGGUGACCAUAUCCAAAAUGUACUCCAUGCGAUUAAUGUUUAUUUCACAUUUGAAUAAAUCGGUAAAUCUCUAGAUUAUAUUAUAUACCAGCAACCUUUUAUUCUGCAAAUAACUUGCAGUUUUUUUAUAGUUUAAUAUUUCAACUACAAUUUUGAAAUAAUUUAUAAAAUACUUCAUCGCUUGGAGUAUGUGGGCCACAAUUUUCAACAAUUUACACACAUACCUACCUAUUGUUAUAGGUUUUGUAUCAAUUUAUAAAAAAAUACCGAAAAAAAAUGGAAAGUUGUGGCCUUUAUUUUGAAAUUCAAAGCAGGAGGAGAAUUAUUGUGGUUGGAAUAAUUCUUACUCAUAUUAAUUUUUGUAUUUAUUAUAUUUUAUUUGUCGUAAAAAUUAUUAAAUUAUGCACGCGUGAGUUUCUCACUUUAAUGGCUAUUUUAGCAUUUUUUUAUUUUAUUUACAAUGUAGUUGUAAUUAUUACUUCUUUUUAAACAGAUAUCUACCUUAUUUUGGUGAUGUGAGGCGUGAGAUGUUUACCUAUUAUCAAUUCAUUACUUGGCUUUAGUUUGUGGAUGAUACGACAUAUCAAAAUUCAGGUUCAAAGUCGAGCAAAACAAUCUAUUUUACGGUGAAAUAUUUGACCAUAAACAUAUUUUCUCAAAAAUCUGUAAAAUUGCUUGAUACUACAGGUCCAAUAUUUCUUACAAAUCAUUUGAUUUUUAAUACGCUUAUAAUUUUUAGUUAAUUGAGAUAAAUUCAGAAACGUUUUUUCUGGAACGUUUCCAUUUCUUUUUAACGUUUUUAAGUUUUUAGAGUUUAUUUUUGAUUGUUCCGUUUAAAUAAUCAAAUGGACGGCAUUUGUCCCAGCCAAAUGACGUCCAUUUGACGGCAUCCGAUUUUCGUGGCGCAUCCUCCCAUGUCACCCAGCGUGCGCCAGGAAGAUGAAGGAUUAAUAGCAUAGACGUUAUUGUUACUGACAUAAGGUAUAUAAUAAAGAUAUUUAUAAACAUAGAGGUAAUUAUGCGAUCAGAGAACUUCCUUUCGGGCCCAGUGAACAUGAUUACUUACGAUUACCUCCGGCUCCUUAUAUAUUUUCUUAACAUAAUAUUUUUAUUAUUAAAUACAAUAAAUAAAAAACAACAUAACGUGUUUUUCAAUUCUUAUUACCAAUUGAAAAUGGAACUGUGUACGCUCCGGCGUUAUAAAUAUCCACGGGUUAUUGCUGGAUAGGUAGUCGUUAGAACAUAAAAAUUAUAUAAAGAAAUCUAUUAUGUACCUACUAAGAAAUAUAUAGAAAAUAUAAUGUGAUUUGGUGUUGUAUAUGAAUUAAAUGAUGUUUUUGUAAUUGCUACUCCUUUCCCUUUCUUACUGUUCAUGCAAGUAUCCCGAGGUAGUAAAAUCUCUAAUAAAGAUAUAUUUGAAAGUUUU